UUUUCGCAAUGCCCGAAAGGGUGACGAAGCGACGCCGCGUGGGUGAGGAAGGCCCUCGGGUUGUAAAGCCCUGUCAGGAGUUAAGAAAUGUAAGUGCGCUAAUAUCGCAUUUAUUUGACGAAGGCUCCAAAGGAAGUCACGGCUAAUUCUGUGCCAGCAGCCGCGGUAAUACAGAGGUGGCAAGCGUUGUUCGGAAUUAUUGGGCGUAAAGAGCACGUAGGUGGAUUUGUAAGUCAGAUGUGAAAGCCUUCUGUUCAACGGAAGAAUUGCAUCUGAAACUACAGACCUUGAGUAUAGGAGGGGAGAAUGGAACUUCUGGUGGAGCGGUGAAAUGCGUAGAUAUCAGAAGGAACGCCGGCGGCGAAAGCGAUUCUCUGGCCUAUUACUGACACUCAGUGUGCGAAAGCUAGGGGAGCAAACGGGAUUAGAUACCCCGGUAGUCCUAGCCGUAAACGAUGGGCACUAAGUAGAGGGGUUUUAA
rnacentral:rRNA from 1 species